rnacentral:rRNA from 1 species
GAUGAACGCUGGCGGCGUGCCUAAUACAUGCAAGUCGAGCGAACGGACGAGAAGCUUGCUUCUCUGAUGUUAGCGGCGGACGGGUGAGUAACACGUGGAUAACCUACCUAUAAGACUGGGAUAACUUCGGGAAACCGGGGCUAAUACCGGAUAAUAUUUUGAACCGCAUGGUUCAAAAGUAAAAGACGGUCUUGCUGUCACUUAUAGAUGGAUCCGCGCUGCAUUAGCUAGUUGGUAAGGUAACGGCUUACCAAGGCAACGAUGCAUAGCCGACCUGAGAGGGUGAUCGGCCACACUGGAACUGAGACACGGUCCAGACUCCUACGGGAGGCAGCAGUAGGGAAUCUUCCGCAAUGGGCGAAAGCCUGACGGAGCAACGCCGCGUGAGUGAUAAAGGUCUUCGGAUCGUAAAACUCUGUUAUUAGGGAAGAACAUAUGUGUAAGUAACUGUGCACAUCUUGACGGUACCUAAUCAGAAAGCCACGGCUAACUACGUG